rnacentral:rRNA from 1 species
UACGGGGGGAGCAAGCGUUGUUCGGAUUCAUUGGGCGUAAAGGGUGCGUAGGUGGCGGGGUAAGUCAGGUGUGAAAUUUCGGAGCUUAACUCCGAAACUGCAUUUGAUACUGCCUUGCUUGAGGACUGGAGAGGAGACUGGAAUUCACGGUGUAGCAGUGAAAUGCGUAGAUAUCGUGAGGAAGACCAGUGGCGAAGGCGGGUCUCUGGACAGUUCCUGACACUGAGGCACGAAGGCCAGGGGAGCAAACGGG